rnacentral:lncRNA from 1 species
AUGGCUCUGGGUUUGAAUGGGCACCUUACCAAGCUGGCGACUCUCAAUAUCCAUGACUACUUGACCAAGGGCCAUGAAAUGACAAGCAUUGGACUGCUACUUGGUGUUUCUGCUGCAAAACUAGGCACCAUGGAUAUGUCUAUUACUCGGCUUCUUAGCAUUCACAUUCCUGCUCUCUUACCCCCAACGUCCACAGAGCUGGAUGUUCCUCACAAUGUCCAAGUGGCUGCAGUGGUUGGCAUUGGCCUUGUAUAUCAAGGGACAGCUCACAGACAUACUGCAGAAGUCCUGUUGGCUGAGAUAGGACGGCCUCCUGGUCCUGAAAUGGAAUACUGCACUGACAGAGAGUCAUACUCCUUAGCUGCUGGCUUGGCCCUGGGCAUGGUCUGCUUGGGGCAUGGCAGCAAUUUGAUAGGUAUGUCUGAUCUCAAUGUGCCUGAGCAGCUCUAUCAGUACAUGGUUGGAGGACAUAGGCGCUUUCAAACAGGAAUGCAUAGGGAGAAACAUAAAUCACCAAGUUAUCAAAUCAAAGAAGGAGAUACCAUAAAUGUGGAUGUGACUUGUCCAGGUGCUACUCUAGCUUUGGCUAUGAUCUACUUAAAAAACCAAUAACAGUGUCUUCUAGGAAGCCCAGACACAUGGAGAAGUUCUGAGUGUUUUGGCCGAUAGUCCCAGAUGAGGUUCCAGCAACAGCUGGGAUCACCCAUGAGAUGUGAGUGAGGAAGGCUUUGAGAUGGUUUCAGCCCUAGCCACCACUGACCUCAUAAGAGACCACAAGAAAGAGAAUCACCUGGCCAAGCCCAGCAGACCUUCAGAAUUCAGAAAUAAAAUAAUUCGUCUUAUUUUAAGCCACUGUGUUUUGGUUUGAUUCAUCCCAUAGCAAAAGACAACUUCAACAGGCCCUUUCUGAGGCUCUGGAGGGGCCCUGGCAAUGUAUCCAUUUGGUCAUUUGCUUUUGACAAAAGCAGACAUUUUAGCUGUAAUUGGCUAAAAUUC